ACGGAGGGUGCAAGCGUUAAUCGGAAUUACUGGGCGUAAAGCGCACGUAGGUGGUUUGUUAAGCUAGCUGUGAAAUCCCCGGGCUCAACCUGGGCACUGCAGUUAGAACUGGCAAGCUAGAGUAGGGUAGAGGGGUGUGGAAUUCCAGGUGUAGCGGUGAAAUGCGUAGAUAUCUGGAGGAACAUCAGUGGCGAAGGCGACACCCUGGACUCAUACUGACACUGAGGUGCGAAAGCGUGGGGAGCAAACAGGA
rnacentral:rRNA from 1 species